CAUAGAAAAUUUAUGGUGAAGUAAUUAAAAGACACAAAAAUGAAAAGAAUUCUAUAGCCCAUUUAAGUGACUUUGACUUUCAGCCUGUAUAGUAUAAAUGAGACACCCCUCACCCCCUCCUAUCCAUCACCCAACAGGUCUUAUAUAAGCCUAUCACACACAGCAUUAAAUCAGUUAUCUACAAUGCUGGGAAUCUCAGGGAUCUCAGGAAUCUCAGACUGAAGAUAAGCAGGGGUAUUUUGGAUACAGAACACUGAGAGUCCAAUCUGGCAGACUUUUACAAACAACUCCGCCUUUUAAUAUCCAACCUCUGUUAUAGUCCAGGUCAAAAUGUAUCUUUUCGCAGGCCCCUAACAGUGAAAAGAGAGUUCUCAUCUCUAGAUCCCAUACCUAGAUUCUCUGGCAAAGAUCUUCAUCCCUUUUCUAAGGUCAUAAGAACAAAGGCUCUGAAGUCGCCAUAUUUUUUCAUCGGAACCAGACUUAACGAUGGUAUUUGUGUUUAAUCUGUGACAAUUGGACAACAUGAUACAGGAAAAGGCAGCAAGACCAUUUUGAGGGCCGCCAACCACACUGAGGCAUUUGAAUGAGAAUCUCUCUAUAGCUUUCUAUAACCUACUAAAUAGAAAUUCAGGGUUCUUAGGUAGGUAUCUCAGCCUCUGUUCAAUCUAGUGCCAAAUUACUUUCGUACAUUAUCACCUAUAGUCCCCCUUCAUGGGCACUCCAUGUUUUUUGCCAAAGUGGACCGAGCUAUUCCCUGAAGAAAAAUAAAAACAAAUAUGUAAAAUAAAAUAAAAAAUAA
rnacentral:lncRNA from 1 species